rnacentral:lncRNA from 1 species
UCGCGGGGCUGGCGGGGCUGGCGGGGCUGGCGGGGCUGGCGGCCUGGCCCACUCCCAGGCUGACAGGACAUCCAACCCUCUGGCUAUGGCAUCUUGGAGGAACAGGCAGGCCUUGAAAAUAGCAGAAAUUCCGAAUUCCCCUGCCCCGGGAGGACUCAAAGGACCCUGCUGAGGACAGAGCUGAUAUGGCCUCAGAAUAAAGAUGAGGGAAGACCAUCCCAAGGAAGACCCCUCUAGCCCAUGGCAAAAGGGCUGGAAUACGCAAGGAUUUGAAAAGCAAGUUUUGCUUUCCAUAUAAACCUAAGCAAGUCGCUUAAUCUGUGAGCCUCAACUACUUUACUUGUGCAAUGGGCAUGUUGCUGGUAGUGGUGAUAGCAGGGAGCCACCGAGAGAGCUUCCAAGUGUGCCAUCUAAGCCCUCCUCUGGGGAAGGGAAGCUCCUCUGGGGAAGGGAAACUGGACCCCCGGGAAAAUUUAUUCUCCCAGGGACGAACAUCCAGACAUUUCCCUGUAGGAGCCUCAGUGUGUUCAGAUGUUCACUGUCCAGUAGAAACAAGACAUCUAGGCAACUCUCCCAUCUCACCAAGCCUCUGCUCUCUUCUGUGGCCACUGUGGGGUUGUGAGAGUAAUGUCAAGACCCAACCCAAUUAGAACACAGGGAAUUUUGCCUGGGAAAGGGAGCCCUUCUACCCUACACCCCUGCUUUCUCUCUUCCAAGGAUCAGGUCUGAUUCAUGUCUGCAUCCUAAAGGCUACAAAUAAACUGUGUCCGGAAAGGAAAA